UGAGGAAUAUUGGUCAAUGGGCGAGAGCCUGAACCAGCCAAGUAGCGUGCAGGAUGACGGCCCUAUGGGUUGUAAACUGCUUUUAUAUGGGAAUAAAGUGAGGGACGUGUCCCUUAUUGCAUGUACCAUAUGAAUAAGGACCGGCUAAUUCCGUGCCAGCAGCCGCGGUAAUACGGAAGGUCCGGGCGUUAUCCGGAUUUAUUGGGUUUAAAGGGAGCGUAGGCUGUCUAUUAAGCGUGUUGUGAAAUUUACCGGCUCAACCGGUGGCUUGCAGCGCGAACUGGUCGACUUGAGUAUGCAGGAAGUAGGCGGAAUUCAUGGUGUAGCGGUGAAAUGCUUAGAUAUCAUGACGAACUCCGAUUGCGCAGGCAGCUUACUGUAGCAUAACUGACGCUGAUGCUCGAAAGUGCGGGUAUCAAACAGG
rnacentral:rRNA from 1 species